AGAGUUUGAUCCUGGCUCAGAAUCAACGCUGGCGGCAUGCCUAACACAUGCAAGUCGAACGAGAAAGUCCUUCGGGAUGAGUAGAGUGGCGUACGGGUGAGUAACGCGUGGGUUAUCUACCUCUGGGUAGGGAAUAACUCGGGGAAACUCGCAGCUAAUACCGUAUAAUACGUUUACGUUAAAGCAGCAAUGCGCCUGGAGCAUGAGCCUGCGUCCGAUUAGCUAGUUGGCGGGGUAAUGGCCCACCAAGGCGACGAUCGGUAGCCGGCCUGAGAGGGCGGUCGGCCACACUGGCACUGAAAUACGGGCCAGACUCCUACGGGAGGCAGCAGUGAGGAAUUUUGGGCAAUGGGCGAAAGCCUGACCCAGCAAUGCCGCGUGAACGAUGAAGUCCUUCGGGAUGUAAAGUUCGUAAGCAGGANAAGAACACCCUGACGGUAUCCUGUGUAAGCCCCGGCUAACUACGUGCCAGCAGCCGCUGGUAAUACGUAUGGGGCA
rnacentral:rRNA from 1 species